AACGAACGCUGGCGGCAUGCCUAACACAUGCAAGUCGAACGAGACCUUCGGGUCUAGUGGCGCACGGGUGCGUAACGCGGGGGAACCUGCCCUUAGGUUCGGAAUAACUCCCCGAAAGGGGUGCUAAUACCGGAUAAUGUCUUCGGACCAAAGAUUUAUCGCCUUUGGAUGGGCCCGCGUUGGAUUAGCUAGUUGGUAGGGUAAAAGCCUACCAAGGCGACGAUCCAUAGCUGGUCUGAGAGGAUGAUCAGCCACACUGGGACUGAGACACGGCCCAGACUCCUACGGGAGGCAGCAGUAGGUAAUAUUGGGCAAUGGGCGAAAGCCUGAUCCAGCAAUGCCGCGUGAGUGAUGAAGGCCUUAGGGUUGUAAAGCUCUUUUACCCGGGAUGAUAAUGACAGUACCGGGAGAAUAAGCUCCGGCUAACUCCGUG
rnacentral:rRNA from 1 species